AGGACGAACGCUGGCGGCGUGCCUAAUACAUGCAAGUCAACGGCUUUCUAUGGAAGCUUGCUUCCACUGAGAAAGGAUAGUGGCGAACGGGGUGAGGUAACACGUGGGUAACCUGCCCAUAAGAGGGGGGAUAACAUCCGGAAACGGGUGCUAAUACCGCAUAGUUUUCUUGAUUGCAUGAUUGAGAAAGGAAAGACGGCCUUUGUGCUGUCGCUUAUGGAUGGACCCGCGGCGUAUUAGUUAGUUGGUGAGGUAACGGCUCACCAAGACGAUGAUACGUAGCCGACCUGAGAGGGUGAUCGGCCACAUUGGGACUGAGACACGGCCCAAACUCCUACGGGAGGCAGCAGUAGGGAAUCUUCCGCAAUGGACGAAAGUCUGACGGAGCAACGCCGCGUGAGUGAAGAAAAGGUUUUCGGAUCGUAAAACUCUGUUGUCAGAGAAGAACAAGUUGGAGAGUAACUGCUCCAGCCUUGACGGUAUCUGACCAGAAAGCCACGGCUAACUACGUGCCAGCAGCCGC
rnacentral:rRNA from 1 species